AACGAACGCUGGCGGCAUGCCUAACACAUGCAAGUCGAACGAGACCUUCGGGUCUAGUGGCGCACGGGUGCGUAACGCGUGGGAAUCUGCCCUUUGCUACGGAAUAACUCGGGGAGACUCGUGCUAAUACCGUAUGAUGUCGCAAGACCAAAGAUUUAUCGGCAAAGGAUGAGCCCGCGUAGGAUUAGCUUGUUGGUGAGGUAAAGGCUCACCAAGGCGACGAUCCUUAGCUGGUCUGAGAGGAUGAUCAGCCACACUGGGACUGAGACACGGCCCAGACUCCUACGGGAGGCAGCAGUGGGGAAUAUUGGACAAUGGGCGAAAGCCUGAUCCAGCAAUGCCGCGUGAGUGAUGAAGGCCUUAGGGUUGUAAAGCUCUUUUACCCGGGAAGAUAAUGACUGUACCGGGAGAAUAAGCUCCGGCUAACUCCGUGCCAGCCGCCGCCG
rnacentral:rRNA from 1 species